UACGGAAGGCAGCAGUGGGGAAUAUUGCACAAUGGGCGAAAGCCUGAUGCAGCUAUGCCGCGUGUAUGAAGAAGGCCUUAGGGUUGUAAAGUACUUUCAUCGGGGAGGAAAAAACAAAACUAAUAAUUUUAUUUCUUGACGUUACCCGAAAAAGAAGCACCGGCUAACUCCGUGCCAGCAGCCGCGGUAAUACGGAGGGUGCUAGCGUUAAUCAGAAUUACUGGGCGUAAAGAGCACGUAGGUGGUUUUUUUAAAGUCAGAUGUGAAAUCCCUGGGCUUAACCUAGGAACUGCAUUUUGAAACUGAAAUACUAGAGUAUCGUAGAGGGAGGUAGAAUUCUAGGUGUAGCGGUGAAAUGCGUAGAUAUCUGGAGGAAUACCUGUGGCGAAAGCGGCCUCCUAAACGAAUACUGACACUGAGAUGCGAAAGCGUGGGGAGCAAACAGGGAUUAGAUACC
rnacentral:rRNA from 1 species